rnacentral:snRNA from 2 species
ACCUUUGCGCAGUGGCGAUAUCGUAACCAAUGAGGUACAACCGAGGUGCGAUUAUUGGUAGUUGAGUAAAUGUAAAUGUUAUGGCAGUAUGGGACGAAACUAAAAUUUUUAAAAAUUACCAAGAAU